rnacentral:rRNA from 1 species
CGACGAAUCUUCCGCAAUGCGCGAAAGCGUGACGGAGCAAUGCCGCGUGCGGGAUGAAGCGGCUUCGCCGUGUAAACCGCUGUCAGGGGCUAGAAACAUUGAUCAACCCCAAAGGAAGGGCCGGCUAACCUCGUGCCAGCAGCCGCGGUAAGACGAGGGGCCCGAGCGUUAAUCGGAAUCACUGGGCUUAAAGGGUGCGUAGGCGGACACGCAGGUGUCUUGUGAAAUCCCUCGGCUUAACCGGGGAACUGCAAGGCAAACCGCGUGUCUUGAGGCAGGUAGAGGUCGUCGGAACGAUAGGUGGAGCGGUGAAAUGCGUAGAUAUCUAUCGGAACGCCAACGGUGAAGACAGACGACUGGGCCUGUUCUGACGCUGAGGCACGAAAGCGUGGGGAGCGAACGGGAUUAGAUACCCCCGUAGUCC